rnacentral:rRNA from 1 species
UAACACGUCGAUAAUCUAACUUAUGGUCUGGAAUAACCUUGGGAAACUGAGGCUAAAACCGGAUAGCGGAUUGGUGCUGGAAUGCUCUUUCCGUGAAAGGCGACGCCAUAAGGUGAGUCGGCGGCUGAUUAGGCUGUUGGUGGGGUAAAGGCUCACCAAACCUAAGAUCAGUAGGGGGAAUGAGAGUUCACGCCCCGAGAAGGGCACUGAGAUAAGGGCCCUAGCCCUAAGGGGUGCAGCAGGCUAGAAUCCUUUACAAUGCGCGAAAGCGUGAUAAGGGAAUCCCAAGUGCUCACUUUUUAAGUGGGCUUUUGCCAAGCAUAAAUACCUUGGCGAAUAAGGGGUGGGCAAGACCGGUGCCAGCCGCCGCGGUAACACCGGCGCCCCAAGUGGUGGUCACAUUUAUUGGGUCUAAAGCGUCUGUAGCCGAUUCAACAAGUCUUUCGUGAAAUCGCUCGGCUUAACCGAGCGGCGCGCGAAAGAAACUGUUGGGUUAGGGACUGGGAGGGGUCAAAGGAACUCCUUGGGAAGCGGUAAAAUGUUUUAAUCCUUGGAGGACCACCUAUGGCGAAGGCAUUUGACCAGAACAGAUCCGACGGUGAGAGACGAAAGCGGGGGGAGCGAUCAGGAUUAGAUACCCUAGUAGUCCCCGCUGUAAACGCUGCGAGCUAUGUGUUGCAUGUUCUUCGAGAACAUGCAGUGCCGGAGCGAAGGCGUUAAGCUCGCCACCUGGGAAGUACGGCCGCAAGAC